rnacentral:rRNA from 1 species
GACGAACGCUGGCGGCGUGCUUAACACAUGCAAGUCGAACGGAAAGGCCCUGCUUUUGUGGGGUGCUCGAGUGGCGAACGGGUGAGUAACACGUGAGUAACCUGCCCUUGACUUUGGGAUAACUUCAGGAAACUGGGGCUAAUACCGGAUAGGAGCUCCUGCUGCAUGGUGGGGGUUGGAAAGUUUCGGCGGUUGGGGAUGGACUCGCGGCUUAUCAGCUUGUUGGUGGGGUAGUGGCUUACCAAGGCUUUGACGGGUAGCCGGCCUGAGAGGGUGACCGGCCACAUUGGGACUGAGAUACGGCCCAGACUCCUACGGGAGGCAGCAGUGGGGAGUAUUGCACAAUGGGCUGAAGCCUGAUGCAGCAACGCCGCGUGCGGGAUGACGGCCUUCGGGUUGUAAACCGCUUUCGCCUGUGACGAAGCGUGAGUGACGGUAAUGGGUAAAGAAGCACCGGCUAACUACGUG